rnacentral:rRNA from 1 species
UACGGAGGGUGCAAGCGUUAUCCGGAUUUACUGGGUUUAAAGGGUGUGUAGGCGGACUUUUAAGUCAGCGGUGAAAUCUCCGGGCUCAACCCGGAAACUGCCAUUGAUACUAUUGGUCUUGAAUAUUGUUGAGGUGGGCGGAACGGGUCAUGUAGCGGUGAAAUGCAUAGAUAUGACCCGGAACACCGAUUGCGAAGGCAGCCCACUAAGCAAUGAUUGACGCUGAGGCACGGAAGCGUGGGGAUCAAACAGG